rnacentral:misc_RNA from 1 species
CUCGUGGAGGGCGAGGCCGAAGAGCGCUCCCGCCGCGUGCUCGCGUGCCUCGGCCGGCGAGGCGGCGGACGCGAGCACCUCGAUGAGCGCGGGAACCGCACCCGCGCGCACGACGGGCACCCUGUUCUCCGGCUCCAGCGAGAGGUUCGCCAGCGCCGCGGCGGCGUCCGCGCGCGCCGACGCGGUGUGGCGCGAGGACAGCAGCACGCGUCUGAGCGACGCGAGCAGCCGCGGACCGCACAGCGCGCGCCGCCUCGCCGCGCCCUCCCGCGUCGCCCGCCGCAGUGCGGCCAUCGCCGCCUCCACUGCCGUCUCGUCCCCGGCCUCCACCGCCUUCGCCACGACCUCCUCCUCUGCGUCAGCAACACGCACGUGUUCGACUUCUUCCUCCUUUGCCGCCUCCUUCCCGCGCACCACCUUCACCUCGACCGGCGCCAUAUCCCUCGACGACCUACCCGACGACGAGGACGACGUUGAUGCAGCAGAAGCUCCCUCCGACGAGCACGACAGGUUCGACGCCGACCUUGCUGGCGCCGGAGCCCCCUCCGACGAGCACGACAGAUUCGACGACGACCUAGCCGGAGGCUGUGUCCCUGGUGCCGCCACCGCGCGCAGCACGGCCACCUUCGCCUCCUCGCCCGAAGGCGCCACGGGCGCCGCGCGAUCAGCGAGCGCGCACCAUGUCCGGACGGCCGCCCGGAGCGCGUCGUUGGGUAUAGCGGCGGCAACGCCACCGCCCGGUGGGUCCCUGUUGCCCGCCACCACUCCGUCAGGACCGAGGGACAGGCCGAGCUCCGCGCAGGCCAGGACGCACGCGCGCUCGUACGUCCGCCCCGACGGCAGGAUGACCGGGUCCGCCAACGGUGUGCCAAGGAUGGGGCAGCACAGGAAGUCCGCCGGCACCUCCUCCUGUCCCUUCUCCUUCGUCGUCCGGGGCGGAGGGACAGUGACGUCCUGUGGCCUGUUCUUGGGCUUGGAUGCUGCCGGCGGUGGCAGGGACAGCGACCGGAAGGGCAGGAGCUUCCAGCGCCGAGAGCGUUCGGCACCCAUCCGGCCGCGUCGCCGGCGCCGGAGCU